UUAUAUGAAAAUACUGAAGUUGAUCGUAGCAACUGAAGGCUGAUCCUGUGUGGGUAAAUGUAAACGCUGAAUUCCCACGUUCCAAUGUGCGACCUGGGAUUAAGGCAGCAAUUGAGCAGGGCAGGGUUUCACCAUGUUGCCCAGGCCGGUCUUGGAUUCCUGGACUCAAGCAAUCUGCCCACCUCAGCCUCCCAAAGCUGAAGUACAUUGGUGCAAUCUUGGCUCACUACAUCUCUACCCCAAGUUCAAGCAAUUCUCCUGCCUCAGCCUCCCAAGCAGCUGGGAUUACAGGUGAUGAUGCCACGCAAGUCUUGCAGCUGCCGAUAGUUUGUCCUCACCAAUUUGGAUUUUGGAGUUAAUGGGGAUAUAUCAUCACCUGAUAUUAGUCUAUUUAGGCUAAUAUAACGAAAUACAGACUGUGUGGCUUAAACAACAGAAAUUUAUUUUCUCCCAAUUCUGGAGGCUGGAGAGUCUAAGAUCAAAGUUCAGCAGCGUUCAAUUUCUGGUGAGGGCUCUUUUCCUGGCUUGCACAUGGCCACCUUCUUGCUCUGUCCUCAUACAAUCUUUCCUUGAUGCCUGUAAUGGAAGAAAGAGAGAUCUUCCCUCUCUUAUAAGGCCACCAAUCCUAUUGGAUUAUGGCCCCACCAUCAUGACCUCAUUUUUUUUUUUUGGGGACGGAGUCUCGCUUUGUUGCCCAGGCUGGAGUGCAGUGGCGCAAACUCGGCUCACUGCAAGCUCCACCUCCCGGGUUCACACCAUUCUCCUGCCUCAGCCUCCCGGGUAGCUGGGACUACAGGCACCCGCCAUCACGCUCGGCUAAAUUUUUUUUGUAUUUUUCACUAGAGACGGGGUUUCACCCUGUUAGCUAGGAUGGUCUCAAUCUCCUGACCUCAUGAUCUGCCCGCCUCGGCCUCCCAAAGUGCUGGGAUUACAGGCAUGAGCCACUGCGCCUGGCCAACCUCAUUUAAUCUUAAUAACCUCCUACAAGCCCAAUCUCCAAAUCACAUUUGAAGUUACACUGGGGGUUAAGCCUUCAAUAUAUAAAUUUGUGGUGGGUAGGGGGCAAUUCAGUCCAUAGCACCUAGGUGUUUUUUUUCUCUUUUUUUGAGACAGAGGCUUGCUCUGUCACCCAGGCUGGAGUGUAGUGAUGCAAUCUCGGCUCACUGCAACCUCCACCUCCCAGGUUCAAGUGAUUCUCCUGCCUCAGCCUCCCGAGUAGCUAGGACUACAGGCAUGUGCCACCACACUUGACUAAUUUUUGUGUUUUUUGUAGAAUCAAGGUUUCACCAUGUUGGCAAGGCUGAUCUCAAACUCCUGACCUCAGGUGAUCCACCUGCCUCGGGUCCCCAAAGUGCUGGGAUUUCAGGCCAUAGCACCUAGUUAUUUUGUAAACACUGUCCAUGGAUUUUUUGUUUUGUCACCCAGUUGCUAUGCUUUUAAUUGUGGAUCCAGAAAGAUUAAAAAGCUUGGCCGGGCGGAGUGGCUCAUGCCUGUAAUCCCAGUACUUUAGGAGGCUGAGGCAGGAGGAUCACUUGAGCCCAGAAGUUUGAGAACAACCCAGGCAAUGCAGUGAGAUUCCAUCUCUACAAAAAAUUUAAAAAUUAGCCAAGCAUGGUGGCAUGUGCCUGUAGUCCCAGCUGCUUGGGAGGCUGAGGUGAGAGGAUUGGUUAAACCUGAGAGGUCAAGGCUGCAGUGGGCCAUGAUUGUGCCACUGCACUGCAGCCUGGGCAACAGAGCAAGACCCUGUUCUCAAGAGAAAAAACUGUGUCACUUAAUAUGCUAAGUGAAAUAAGCCAGUCACAAAGGACAAAUACUGUAUGAUUCCACUAAUGUGAGGUACCUAGAGUAGUUAAAAUCAUAGAAACAGAAGGUAAAAUGAUUGUCGUCCAGGACUGGGGUUAAGAGGGAAUGAGGAAUUAUUUUUUGUUCAAUGGAACAGAGUUUCAGUUUGGGAAGAUGGAAAAAGUUCUGGAGAUAGAUGUGGCGAUGGUUGCGCAACAACGUGAAUGUGCUAAAUAUCACUGAAUUGUACACUUAAAAUGGUUAAAAUGGUCAUUUUUGGUUAUGUAUAUUUUACUAUAAUAAAAAAGGAAAAGUAGAAACACAUAAAACAGCAGUCCCCAACCUUUUUAGCACCAGGGACUAGUUUUAUGGAAGAUAAUUUUUCCACAGACCAGGGUAGGGGGAUGGUUUCAGGAUGAUUCAAGUGCCUCACAUUUAUUGUGCACUUGAUUUCUAUUAUUAUUACAUUGUAAUAUAUAAUAAAGUAAUUAUACAACUCACCAUAAUGUAGAGUCAGUGGGAGCCCUGAGCUUGUUUUCCUGCAAAUAGAUGGUCCCGUCUGGGUGUGAUGAGAGACAAUGACAGAUCAUCAGACAUUAGAUUCUCAUAAGGAGCAACCUAGAUCCCUUGCAUGUGCAGUUCACAGUAGGGUUCAUGCUCCUGUAAGAACCUAAUGCUGCCACUGAUCUGACAGGAAGCAGAGCUCAGGCAGUAAUACGAGCAAUGGGAAGCAGCUGUAAAUACAGAUGACGCCUCGCUCACGCCGCUCACCUCCUGCUGUGCAGCCUGGUUCCUAAAAGGCUUCAACCCCAACCCCCUGGGGUUGGGGACCCCUGACAUAGAAGACCCCAAAAAAGGACCCCAUCAAAAUUUGAAUGAUUCCACCCAUCAAUCACUGUGCUGGGAUUCCACCAACCCUUCACUUGACUGGAGACUAUUCAAAGAAUAAAGACUAUGAGUCCACUGAAAUGAUUGUGAAAUAUAAAGAUAGGUCUUACCGCAUCUGUAAGUCUCUUUCUUCUCCUGUAGCCUGAAAUAAAAAUAGACAAAGAAACUGGGUGCGGUGACUCAUGCCUGUAAUCCUAGCAUUUUG